GUUCCAUUCUACAACCAAACGCAGUCUACCUCGCCGUCGCGGUGCUGACCGAGUUGGCCGCCAUCGUCCUCGCGAACGACACGUGCCGUAGCCCAGCUCCCGUGCCAAGGUUGCGUUCGUCGUCUUCUCCAGCCGUGGCCACCUCUACGAGAGUGCGAGUACGCCGCGAGGAGGACGAGGUGGUGGUCGUCGCCGCCGCGGAGGAGAAGCACAGGCACGAUGGCCGCAUCGAGCGGGGCCGCAGGCGGCGGAGCACAGCGGCUGCAGUGCGCUCCAUCCCCGUCGGCGGGCGCGGCAGUGGCACCCCUCCCGGGAGCACGAGCUACGACAGCUUGAGCCCCGCCCUCCACCGCGCGUGCGAAGUCCUCCAUGGCAGACGCCGGCGGCGGAGCGAUCCAUGGCGCGAGGAGAGAGGAGAGCAAGUUUAUUAUACGGCAUGAGGCAACAGUUAGGGAAAUUGAUCAUUUUUCAUCUUAUUAAGGCCCUAUUUAGGAGAGCUUCACUUCAAAAACUUCAGCUUUGGUUUCCAGUUUUACUAUAAAACAGCUCCAGCAAAUUGUUAAGGUGAGUUCCAGGAGCGUUUGGUUUGUAUAUGGACUCCAACUUCUAUAGUACAAUUGAUUUGUGUGGG
rnacentral:misc_RNA from 1 species